rnacentral:rRNA from 1 species
GAUGAACGCUGGCGGCGUGCCUAAUACAUGCAAGUCGAGCGAAUGGAUUAAGAGCUUGCUCUUAUGAAGUUAGCGGCGGACGGGUGAGUAAUACGUGGGUAACCUGCCCAUAAGACUGGGAUAACUCCGGGAAACCGGGGCUAAUACCGGAUAACAUUUUGAACCGCAUGGUUCGAAAUUGAAAGGCGGCUUCGGCUGUCACUUAUGGAUUGACCCGCGUCGCAUUAGCUAGUUGGUGAGGUAACGGCUCACCAAGGCAACGAUGCGUAGCCGACCUGAGAGGGUGAUCGGCCACACUGGGACUGAGACACGGCCCAGACUCCUACGGGAGGCAGCAGUAGGGAAUCUUCCGCAAUGGACGAAAGUCUGACGGAGCAACGCCGCGUGAGUGAUGAAGGCUUUUGGGUCGUAAAACUCUGUUGCUAGGGAAGAACAAGUGCUAGUUGAAUAAGCUGGCACCUUGACGGUACCUAACCAGAAAGCCACGGCUAACUACGUGCCAGCCGCCGCGGUAA